CAGAGGAAGGAGAGGUCAACGGUAGGUCAGUAUGCCCCGAAUCUCUUGGGCUACACGCGCGCUACAAAGGGCGGGACAAUGGGCUACGACGCCGAAAGGCGAAGUCAAUCUCGAAACCCGUCCGUAGUUCGGAUUGAGGCUUGUAACUCAGCCUCAUGAAGCUGGAUUCCGUAGUAAUCGCGACUCAAAAACUCGCGGUGAAUAUGCCCCUGCUCCUUGCACACACCGCCCGUCAAACCAUCCGAGUUGGGUUUCAGUGAGGUGGCCCCUGAUUAGGGUCUUCGAACUGAGAUUUAGCAAGGAAGGUUAAGUCGUUACAAGGUAUCUGUAGGGGAAACUGCAGAUGGAUCACCUCCU
rnacentral:rRNA from 1 species